rnacentral:rRNA from 1 species
UGGGGAAUUUUGGACAAUGGGCGAAAGCCUGAUCCAGCAAUGCCGCGUGUGUGAAGAAGGCCUUCGGGUUGUAAAGCACUUUUGUCCGGAAAGAAAUCCUUGGCUCUAAUACAGUCGGGGGAUGACGGUACCGGAAGAAUAAGCACCGGCUAACUACGUGCCAGCAGCCGCGGUAAUACGUAGGGUGCAAGCGUUAAUCGGAAUUACUGGGCGUAAAGCGUGCGCAGGCGGUUUGCUAAGACCGAUGUGAAAUCCCCGGGCUCAACCUGGGAACUGCAUUGGUGACUGGCAGGCUAGAGUAUGGCAGAGGGGGGUAGAAUUCCACGUGUAGCAGUGAAUGCGUAGGAGAUGUGAGGAAUACCGAUGGCGAAGGCCAGGCCCCCAUGGGCCAAUACUGACGCUCAUGCACGAAAAGCGUGGGGGAGCAAACAGGAUUAGAUACCCUGGUAGUCCACGCCCUAAACGAUGUCAACUAGUUGUUGGGGAUUCAUUUCCUUAGUAACGUAGCUAACGCGUGAAGUUGACCGCCUGGGGAGUACGGUCGCAAGGCUAAAACUCAAAUGAAUUGACGGGGUCAUAGCUGUUUCCU